UACGUAGGGUGCAAGCGUUAAUCGGAAUUACUGGGCGUAAAGCGUGCGCAGGCGGUUUUGUAAGUCUGUCGGGAAAACCCCGGGCUUAACCUGGGAAUGGCGAUGGAGACUGCAAGGCUAGAGUUUGGCAGAGGGGGGUAGAAUUCCACGUGUAGCAGUGAAAUGCGUAGAGAUGUGGAGGAACACCGAUGGCGAAGGCAGCCCCCUGGGUCAAAACUGACGCUCAUGCACGAAAGCGUGGGGAGCAAACAGG
rnacentral:rRNA from 1 species